AGUGAACGCUGGCGGUAGGCCUAACACAUGCAAGUCGAACGGCAGCACAGUAAGAGCUUGCUCUUACGGGUGGCGAGUGGCGGACGGGUGAGGAAUACAUCGGAAUCUACUUUUUCGUGGGGGAUAACGUAGGGAAAAUUACGCUAAUACCGCAUACGACCUACGGGUGAAAGCAGGGGAUCUUCGGACCUUGCGCGAUUGAGUGAGCCUAUGUCGGAUUAGCUAGUUGGCGGGGUAAAGGCCCACCAAGGCGACGAUCCGUAGCUGGUCUGAGAGGAUGAUCAGCCACACUGGAACUGAGACACGGUCCAGACUCCUACGGGAGGCAGCAGUGGGGAAUAUUGGACAAUGGGGGCAAGCCUGAUCCAGCCAUACCGCGUGGGUGAAGAAGGCCUUCGGGUUGUAAAGCCCUUUUGUUGGGAAAGAAAAGCAGCAGGUUAAUACCCCGCUGUUCUGACGGUACCCAAAGAAUAAGCACCGGCUAACUUCGUG
rnacentral:rRNA from 1 species